CGGCACGGGUGCGUAACACGUAUCCAACCUGCCGUCUACUCUUGGACAGCCUUCUGAAAGGAAGAUUAAUACAAGAUGGCAUCAUGAGUUCACAUGUUCACAUGAUUAAAGGUAUUCCGGUAGACGAUGGGGAUGCGUUCCAUUAGAUAGUAGGCGGGGUAACGGCCCACCUAGUCUUCGAUGGAUAGGGGUUCUGAGAGGAAGGUCCCCCACAUUGGAACUGAGACACGGUCCAA
rnacentral:rRNA from 1 species